AUUUAUGUUGCAGAUAACUUGUAAAAGAAGGUUGAAACAUUAGUAUUAAGCUCACCAAACAAAAAGUGAGUUGUGGGUAUGCCCCUUUAACGUGCCCUUCCCCCCUCUUCCUGUGAGCGUAGUGUUGGAGGAAAAAACAGUUAGCGAUACCAGAGAGGUGAUGUAGCUGUGUGGAUCGAGAACAUUUUCCCUGGAAAUACGGAGGUUUUCUGAUCCAAAGGGAAAUCAGUGACUAUUGAGAGCCUAAGAACAAUAACCAGAGAAGUUUUGGCCAGGUUUUUAGUGUGUGCUUCAGUUGUCGGGAAGAGCUUUCUGGGUGUCAGACGAGGCCUGGAUCUCUCUCUCCCUUUUCUUCGUGCGGUGGCUGCAGACGACCCCCACACACACACAGGAUAUUGGAUGGCGAGCCUGACCCAUGAGACUCGAGCUUAAAGACUGACAGCAACCGGAUCGACAGAAUACGGUUUGAUAUUGCUCAUAUAGUGAGACAAUUUUGUGUGCUUCUGCUUGCUGCUUUAUGGCAGCAGGAUUCCGGAUUUCCCCUUUUCUGAUCUGAAUCGAACUAUUGAACUGAACUGAAUUAAUCUGAAACUGUUGAACUGAAUCCAAGUUAUUGUAUUGAAUACUGUUAUAUUUCAUGCUGUUGUUGUGUUAAAGUGGGUUCUACUCAUACUCAAUUGGUAUUCAAGAAGUUAAGUGCGAUCUAUUUGACAUUAAUUGUGAGUGUUUCUGUUUAAUGCUUUUUGUUUUAUUAAAAGUGCCGGCUUUCCAUUUAA